GGAGAGUUGGCAGAGCGGUUGAAUGCGGCGGUCUUGAAAACCGUUAUAGCGCGAGCUAUCUGGGGUUCGAAUCCCUAACUCUCCGCCA
rnacentral:tRNA from 2 species